rnacentral:siRNA from 1 species
UAAUCCCAUAUAGGUAUUCGAG